rnacentral:rRNA from 1 species
UACGAAGGGGGCUAGCGUUGCUCGGAAUCACUGGGCGUAAAGGGUGCGUAGGCGGGUCUUUAAGUCAGGGGUGAAAUCCUGGAGCUCAACUCCAGAACUGCCCUUGAUACUGAAGGUCUUGAGUUCGGGAGAGGUGGGUGGAACUGCGAGUGUAGAGGUGAAAUUCGUAGAUAUUAGCUAGAACACCAGUGGCGAAGGCGGCCAACUGGUCCGGUACUGACGCUGAGGUGCGAAAGCGUGGGGAGCAAACAGG